rnacentral:rRNA from 1 species
ACGCUGGCGGCGUGCCUAAUACAUGCAAGUCGAGCGAACAGAUAAGGAGCUUGCUCCUUUGAAGUUAGCGGCGGACGGGUGAGUAACACGUGGGUAACCUACCUAUAAGACUGGGAUAACUUCGGGAAACCGGAGCUAAUACCGGAUAACAUUUAGAACUGCAUGGUUCUAAAGUGAAAGAUGGUUUUGCUAUCACUUAUAGAUGGACCCGCGCCGUAUUAGCUAGUUGGUAAGGUAGCGGCUUACCAAGGCGACGAUACGUAGCCGACCUGAGAGGGUGAUCGGCCACACUGGAACUGAGACACGGUCCAGACUCCUACGGGAGGCAGCAGUAGGGAAUCUUCCGCAAUGGGCGAAAGCCUGACGGAGCAACGCCGCGUGAGUGAUGGAGGGUUUCGGCUCGUAAAACUCUGUUAUUGGGGAAGAACAAAUGUGUAAGUAACUGUGCACAUCUUGACGGUACCUAAUCAGAAAGCCACGGCUAACUACGUGCCAGCAGCCGCGGUAAUACGUAGGUGGCAAGCGUUAUCCGGAAUUAUUGGGCGUAAAGCGCGCGUAGGCGGUUUCUUAAGUCUGAUGUGAAAGCCCACGGCUCAACCGUGGAGGGUCAUUGGAAACUGGGAAACUUGAGUGCAGAAGAGGAAAGUGGAAUUCCAUGUGUAGCGGUGAAAUGCGCAGAGAUAUGGAGGAACACCAGUGGCGAAGGCGACUUUCUGGUCUGUAACUGACGCUGAUGUGCGAAAGCGUGGGGAUCAAACAGGAUUAGAUACCCUGGUAGUCCACGCCGUAAACGAUGAGUGCUAAGUGUUAGGGGGUUUCCGCCCCUUAGUGCUGCAGCUAACGCAUUAAGCACUCCGCCUGGGGAGUACGACCGCAAGGUUGAAACUCAAAGGAAUUGACGGGGACCCGCACAAGCGGUGGAGCAUGUGGUUUAAUUCGAAGCAACGCGAAGAACCUUACCAAAUCUUGACAUCCUUUGAAAACUCUAGAGAUAGAGCCUUCCCCUUCGGGGGACAAAGUGACAGGUGGUGCAUGGUUGUCGUCAGCUCGUGUCGUGAGAUGUUGGGUUAAGUCCCGCAACGAGCGCAACCCUUAAGCUUAGUUGCCAUCAUUAAGUUGGGCACUCUAGGUUGACUGCCGGUGACAAACCGGAGGAAGGUGGGGAUGACGUCAAAUCAUCAUGCCCCUUAUGAUUUGGGCUACACACGUGCUACAAUGGACAAUACAAAGGGCAGCUAAACCGCGAGGUCAUGCAAAUCCCAUAAAGUUGUUCUCAGUUCGGAUUGUAGUCUGCAACUCGACUACAUGAAGCUGGAAUCGCUAGUAAUCGUAGAUCAGCAUGCUACGGUGAAUACGUUCCCGGGUCU